AGAACUCUCGUUAAGGAACUCGGCAAAAUGACCCCGUAACUUCGGGAGAAGGGGUGCUGAUCGCAAGAUCAGCCGCAGUGAAUAGGCCCAGGCGACUGUUUAUCAAAAACACAGGUUUCUGCAAAAUCGUAAGAUGAAGUAUAGGGGCUGACGCCUGCCCGGUGCUGGAAGGUUAAGAGGAUGGGUUAGCGUAAGCGAAGCUCAGAAUUGAAGCCCCAGUAAACGGCGGCCGUAACAAUAACGGUCCUAAGGUAGCGAAAUUCCUUGUCGGGUAAGUUCCGACCCGCACGAAAGGCGUAACGAUCUGGGCACCGUCUCAACGAGAGACUCGGUGAAAUUAUAAUACCCGUGAAGAUGCGGGUUACCCGCGACAGGACGGAAAGACCCCAUGGAGCUUUACUGUAGCUUGAUAUUGGGUGUUUGUACAACUUGUACAGGAUAGGUAGGAGCCGUAGAAGUCGGGACGCUAGUUUCGACGGAGGCAUCGGUGGGAUACUACCCUCGUUGUAUGAACACUCUAACCCACGCCGGCAAUCACGGCGGGAGACAGUGUCAGGUGGGCAGUUUGACUGGGGCGGUCGCCUCCUAAAAGGUAACGGAGGCGCCCAAAGGUUCCCUCAGAAUGGUUGGAAAUCAUUCCAGAGUGUAAAGGCAUAAGGGAGCUUGACUGCGAGACCUACAAGUCGAGCAGGGACGAAAGUCGGGCUUAGUGAUCCGGUGGUUCCGCAUGGAAGGGCCAUCGCUCAACGGAUAAAAGCUACCCUGGGGAUAACAGGCUUAUCUCCCCCAAGAGUCCACAUCGACGGGGAGGUUUGGCACCUCGAUGUCGGCUCAUCGCAUCCUGGGGCUGUAGUCGGUCCCAAGGGUUGGGCUGUUCGCCCAUUAAAGCGGUACGCGAGCUGGGUUCAGAACGUCGUGAGACAGUUCGGUCCCUAUCCGUCGCGGGCGCAGGAAAUUUGAGAGGAUCUGUCCUUAGUACGAGAGGACCGGGAUGGACAUACCGCUGGUGUACCAGUUGUUCUGCCAAGGGCAUCGCUGGGUAGCUAUGUAUGGAUGAGAUAAACGCUGAAAGCAUCUAAGUGCGAAACUCACCUCGAGAUAAGAUUUCCCACUCCUUUAUGGAGUUAAGACCCCUGAGAGAUGAUCAGGUAGAUAGGAUGGAAGUGGAAGUGCGGCGACGCAUGGAGCGGACCAUUACUAAUCGGUCGAGGACUUAACC
rnacentral:rRNA from 1 species